UACGUAGGUGGCAAGCGUUGUCCGGAUUUACUGGGCGUAAAGGAUGCGUAGGCGGACAUUUAAGUCAGAUGUGAAAUACCCCGAGCUUAACUUGGGUGCUGCAUUUGAAACUGGGUGUCUAGAGUGCAGGAGAGGUAAGUGGAAUUCCCAGUGUAGAGGUGAAAUUCGUAGAUAUCGGGAGGAACACCAGUGGCGAAGGCGACUACCUGGCCUGUUCUUGACGCUGAGGCGCGAAAGCUAGGGGAGCAAACGGG
rnacentral:rRNA from 1 species